UCUCUCAUAGCACAAGCUAGUAAGUCCCGUCGCAGAUCACGACGUUGAUAGGUCAGAGGUGUAAGAGUGGCAACAUUUUCAGCCGACUGAUACUAAUAGGACGAGGGCUUUUCCUA
rnacentral:rRNA from 1 species